rnacentral:rRNA from 1 species
GAUGAACGCUAGCGGCUGGCUUAACACAUGCAAGUCGAGGGGCAGCAUAAAUAGUAGCAAUACUAUUGGUGGCGACCGGCGGACGGGUGCGUAACGCGUAUACAACCUUCCCUAAACAGGGGGAUAAUCUGGAGAAAUUCGGUCUAAUACCCCAUAACAUCAGAGCAGGCAUCUGUUUUGGUUAAAAUUUCCGGAGGUUUAGGAUGGGUAUGCGUAGCAUUAGCUAGUUGGUGAGGUAACGGCUCACCAAGGCGACGAUGCUUAGGGGGACUGAGAGGUUAACCCCCCACACUGGUACUGAGACACGGACCAGACUCCUACGGGAGGCAGCAGUGAGGAAUAUUGGUCAAUGGGCGGAAGCCUGAACCAGCCAUGCCGCGUGCAGGAUGACGGCUCUAUGAGUUGUAAACUGCUUUUGUACGAGGGUAAAGUGGGCUACGUGUAGCCUUUUGAAAGUAUCGUACGAAUAAGGAUCGGCUAACUCCGUGCAGCCGCCGCAGUAA